rnacentral:rRNA from 1 species
UACGUAGUCCCAAGAGAUCGGGAUAACACCUGGAAACAGAUGCUAAUACCGGAUAACAACAGAUGAUGCCUAUCAACUGUUUAAAAGAUGGUUCUGCUAUCACUCUUGGAUGGACCUGCGGUGCAUUAGCUAGUUGGUAGGGUAACGGCCUACCAAGGCGAUGAUGCAUAGCCGAGUUGAGAGACUGAUCGGCCACAUUGGGACUGAGACACGGCCCAAACUCCUACGGGAGGCAGCAGGG